rnacentral:rRNA from 1 species
GUGGGGGAAUUUUGGACAAUGGGCGCAAGCCUGAUCCAGCAAUGCCGUGUGAGUGAAGAAGGCCUUCGGGUUGUAAAGCUCUUUUGUCAGGGAAGAAACGGUGAGUUCUAAUACAGCUUACUAAUGACGGUACCUGAAGAAUAAGCACCGGCUAACUACGUGCCAGCAGCCGCGGUAAUACGUAGGGUGCAAGCGUUAAUCGGAAUUACUGGGCGUAAAGCGUGCGCAGGCGGUUAUGUAAGUCAGAUGUGAAAUCCCCGGGCUCAACCUGGGAAUGGCAUUUGAGACUGCAUGGCUAGAGUGUGUCAGAGGGGGGUAGAAUUCCACGUGUAGCAGUGAAAUGCGUAGAGAUGUGGAGGAAUACCGAUGGCGAAGGCAGCCCCCUGGGAUAACACUGACGCUCAUGCACGAAAGCGUGGGGAGCAAACAGGAUUAGAUACCCUGGUAGUCCACGCCCUAAACGAUGUCUACUAGUUGUCGGGACUUAAUUGUCUUGGUAACGCAGCUAACGCGUGAAGUAGACCGCCUGGGGAGUACGGUCGCAAGAUUAAAAC